GCGUGGGUAGUCUAGCGGCAAUGACAGGAGACUGUAAAUCUCCCCUCUUCGGAGUUCGGUGGUUCGAGUCCACCCUUGCGCA
rnacentral:tRNA from 1 species